rnacentral:rRNA from 1 species
GUUCCUACGGGACGCAGCAGUGAGGAAUAUUGGUCAAUGGGCGGGAGCCUGAACCAGCCAAGUCGCGUGAGGGAAGACGGUCCUAUGGAUUGUAAACCUCUUUAGGCGGGGAGCAAUGCCGGGCACGUGUGCCCGGAGGGAGAGUACCCGCAGAAUAAGCAUCGGCUAACUCCGUGCCAGCAGCCGCGGUAAUACGGAGGAUGCGAGCGUUAUCCGGAUUUAUUGGGUUUAAAGGGUGCGCAGGCGGACCAUCAAGUCAGCGGUAAAUCGUGGGGCCCAACCCCAUCCCGCCGUUGAAACUGGCG